rnacentral:rRNA from 1 species
UACGGAGGGAGCUAGCGUUAUUCGGAAUUAUUGGGCGUAAAGAGCUCGUAGGCGGUUUGUCGCGUCUGCUGUGAAAACCCGAGGCUCAACCUCGGGCCUGCAGUGGGUACGGGCAGACUAGAGUGCGGUAGGGGAGAUUGGAAUUCCUGGUGUAGCGGUGGAAUGCGCAGAUAUCAGGAGGAACACCGAUGGCGAAGGCAGAUCUCUGGGCCGUAACUGACGCUGAGGAGCGAAAGCAUGGGGGAGCGAACAGG